ACGAGUGUCAAGAUGUAAUACCUUGCGUCUACAGUACCACAUUGGGUAUUAUUAAAAUUUGCCGUUGAGCAUCGUUGUCAAUUAAUUUGAGUUGAUUGCUCUGAUUUUUUUUUUUUUUUUGUGAGGGGGCGGGUCAAUAGCAGCAAUAGCAACAACAUUUUAACAAUUUACCCAACGCUGACAAUAGGAAUGGAAUCAUUUUUCAUAUGAAAUCUGGUCCUGGAGUCGUGCUUUACAUUUUCAGACGUGGUGCCCAAUAGUAUGUUGCAGUUAUAGGUGGACAUUUUGGAAAGUUUUGACACCUGGUAUGUGCUUCCAGGCUAUUAAUAUUUUUGCCGAGGUUGCCUUGCCUCCAAUGUAGUUCACAAGUCGUGAGAAACCAUGAUACUCUUUGACAGCGGACACACCAGCUGACCAUGCAGUUAGACGACUCAUUGUAAUUUGUGGAAUAUUUGAAUAUCGUUAUGAAAAAGGGACAUUUUUUUUUCCUCAAAGGAGGCACUUACUUUCACCUUGUCUGGAAAAAAUAACUUUCUGGAUAAAAACAGUUUGAAUAAUUGUUUGGUAUCGGGAGAAAUAAAGCAAAUUCCAGAAGCAGAAAUAAAGAUAAACUUGUUUUGAAUGUCGUAGUCAUUUUCUUUUUCUUUAGGUAAAGAAAGAGAAACAAACAUAAACGUAAAAUGGAACCUAGCACCAUACAGAUCAACUUUACACAUGUAUUUUGUAAGGCUAGUUCAUAUGCUCUUAAAUUAAUUUAAGACCCCUGCCCCCCGGCAUGUCAAAUAUAUUAUAUCCUUUCUGCUUAAAGAGUGCUACACUAUGUAAACUUGGUUUUGCUUAGAACGAUUAAAUCCUUGAAACUUAUGACCACUUACAUGGCCCACUUCCCGUCUUGUGGGGAUUCCAGAGAUUCUGGAGGCGAGGGGGCAGCGAUCCUGAGCUUGCUGCCUCUUAGCAAACACAUUUUAUGGACGGAUUUGCACAUCAUUGCUUAUGGCCGUAGACGAUGCUUAUGCAAGGAAAACCAUCAAAUGAAAAAAAAAACACAGAAAGCCGCUUCCAGUCAUCCGUAGUACUUUCGAGAGAUUUGUUUCACACAAUACAUGAAUAAUUGCAUGCAGAUUGUGUUUCACAUCAGGUUGAGCCACUGUGCUAUUCUUGGGGGGGGGGGGGGGGGGCAUGGGAAAAAGGUCUUUUCUUCUCCAGUCUUGUGACUGCGCUUGCAGAACAAAGGAUUAGCUUGUGCAACUUGACAUUUGUGCACAGUCAUCAUGUUUUCCCGCUCAUCGUUGUCAGGAAUUCACAUUCUAAUUUUCACAGACAUAACUAGACAGUCACAUCUUCACACAAUGUUGUUUUAUAGCAUGUCUGGGUUCCCCACCCCCCUUUUUUAACUGUAGAGAGUGUACAAUUGACUUAACAAAUCCAACAAGGCCUGUUGUCUUAUCAGCUUUCAAGUCUGUGUCCCUAAUGAUUUUCAAGGCCCACAAAGUGGACCAUUAAACAAAAAAACCCCAAAACAAAAACAAAUAGUUGGUGACGCCUUGCUCCUGAUAAAGCGAGUGAGCACCAUACAUCCAUGACACACCGCAGCAGAAAAAACUGCUUCGCUGAAUUGGCUUUUUAAGGUCAACUUCCAUUCCACUGUAUUAUUCUUAUUCUUUUAAUAGUUCCUUUAUUGAAUGAUUGUGUGAUUGUUAAGAAAGUAAGCGUAUAGCCGCAAACGGGUGGAAAUUCGCAACAAUAAGUAAUGAGAGGUUGUUAAACUAAUCAAUGACCCCAUUCUGAAUAAAAAAAUUAAUACGUGAAAAAAACAGUAAUAAUUGUAAAUAGCACAGCCACUAUCUAUAUCUAUAUUUGUAUUGCACUUAUAUUGAACUGUGUACAGCUCUCUUCUGAAACAUUUAUUUUUGUGCAUGCAAACACUUAAGUUUUUUUUCUUCUUUCUAUCCCCCACUUUUGCUGCUGUAGACUGUAAAUUUGCCCAGUGUUGGACAAAAAAAGGACAUCUUAUCUUAUUCACGCACUGCAACCAGGCAUUUCGCUGACAAGUUCUCAAUGCAUUGCUUUCUAGUAACAGGUACAUCUGAAAUGAUCGAUAUGUUUAAGUAUUAUUGCAUGCAUCACUUUGGGGGCUGGUCCGUUUCUUCCAUUUUGUGUUUUCCUACAAGAUACCUGAAAGCUUCUUUUACACAGAAAUCCUGCCAAAUAGCCACGGUAGAGUUGUUACAGGGCCUUUUAAUGAACAUGGAAAUGAUUGAUGGAUGCUUUCACACAGCCACACGGCAUCCUGCAAAUUGAUGAUUAGCUGUGUCUACAAUAAAUGUUGGACAGUGACUAUUUCUUUCAACACCAGAGGGCGGGAAAAGUGAACAUCCGGUGUUCUGGAUGUCACCCUGCCUCUGAUACUACCCCUGAAUUGGGAACCUUGCUGGCCCCACCAAAACAAAGGUGGAAAAUUCAGUUUUUUGACUGCAGUGUGACAGAGGUCAUCACUUAUCUAUUUUUUUUUAAAUUCCUGAUGUACAUGAAAGAACAUUUUUUUGGAUUGAUGCAAAUUGCCCUCUCGAACAUAGAGAUUACACAACAAUGUGUUGUUCUGUCUAUUCUAAGUGCAUGCUAACAGACUACUUUUAAAAGUGGUUUACUACUGCAAGUACUGUUCCCACAGUUUUCUAAUGCACAGAGAGCAUUCGUUGCACCAUCGGUGCAGGCAGACACCUGACACCUCCACCAAGGGGCGGCCCCACAGAAGGUCGCCUCCUCUUUUGUUGUCUACUCCAAAACAAGCUCGUCAGUGUCUUUUGGUGAGAGAAUAAAGCAAUAGUGUCCGGCCCAACUCCAGCUGCUUGUACACACACACGCUACUCACGAGACAUAAAGGCUGCAUUGUUGUGUGUUUUCACAGUUAUUCCACAAAAUGUAUUUUCUUUUUUUUUUUUUAAUCAAACCUGGAAAUCUACAUUGAUUUCUUCACCAUGCCAUUUCUUUGGAUUUGCUGCAGGCGGGCAGAUUCGAAGCACAUCUUUUCCAUUUUGUGCUUUUUUUUUUUUUGUCUUUAAAAUACUGAUUUCCAAGCAUCCACAUGUAGUGGCUGUGCAUGUAGGAGGACGUAGGCGGAGUCUGGAACAAAGAGUCCUUAUCCCAUUCACUGGAGCCUGCGGGCUGGAAUCUUGCUGCUGCCUGCCCUCCUGGCCACCACUGAGCAGUUGUAAACGCUCCGGUGUAAAAGUCCUUAUUGCUAUUGCGUCUUGUUUGCUUUCAAACAAGAUCAGAAACCCCAUGGAGUUUGAAUUGGGGACUAGCAAAAAAAAAAAGUUGCUUCGUCAUACUGUAUGUUGUAGGAAGCAUUUCAAGUUGUUGGCCAUCCUGUGACUGCGGCUUCACAGGCUUGAAAUCGGCCUUUGUAGUACAGUUCAGUUGGAACUUCUUCACUUGUCCUCUUAAAAGGUUUCUCCAGGGGCCAAAUGAGAGGAAGAUGAAAAUGAAAGAGAGGAAGCAACUGUGUGUCAGAACUUAUGAUCAAAGUUGGUCAAAAGCAUGUGGGUUCCUUUUUUUUUUUUAAAUCGGCGUGCUUUCAUAUAACCACAUGUUGUUUUCAUUGCGUCCUUUUUCGGGGUUCCCAUAUCCGAUCUGUCGUAGCUUUGCAAAGGAUUUUCUGUGCUUUCCUCCCACCUCAAAGCCAGAGUCAUCUAGCUGGCUCUGAGUCAAACGUGUUGGAUACCCAUCGGUUCAGGUGCCCGAGUGAAAAUGCGCGCAGAAGUUAUACAGCUGCAGCUCGAGCGGUGUCAGGAAUGGUCUCGAAGGCUGGCAGGACUAAUAAGCAUUCUGCUUUUGCUUACCUGUUAUUCGACAUACUGUACACAGUAGUUGUUGCCAGAGUAGAAAGAAACAAAAAUAAUACUGUCAGUCAGAUUUCUCUCCCCUUAUUCACCUUUUUUUUCGCGUUCGCUUAAAGCCUGGAAAGUAAACAGCAUUUAUGUGUAAAAACAUACUCAGCAUAAGCAGUGUGGCUCUCUUUCUAUCUAUAUUUGUAUAUUUCCAUUCUGUGGCUUAGCGCAGAGCUCGGGCCUGGUUGUAACCUGUGGUUGCGCCUUCAUCCGCCCCCUCUUUCAGCUUUUUUCUUUUUUGUCUUUUCUCUACACACUGAUUCUUCCCAGAUGUUUCCUGUGUGUGUCAUUCCCUCUCUCGCCGUCUCUGCGGAUUGCUCUGAGCAUAUCAACAUCUGCCCAGUUUUAAGAUUUAUAGGGAGGGUUUUCCUGGAGAACUGUUUGUUUUCCCUCCCCCCUGCAAGUUGAGUUUGAAACUGAAACAAGCAAAC